GUGAGAGUACUUGCAUUUUCAUUUAACUACAGUAAUAUCAUUCAAAAAGAAAUUUUAAAAGUAAGUAUUAAACUAAAUUCAGCUGGCUGAAAGCAAUCUGAAAGUGAAAAAAUUGUAUCGUACAAGUGUACCUGGAGCCCUGGCUUCUAAUACCAACGGUGACGCAAGUGUUAUUAUUAAAGAAAUACUUCUAUCUCAGGCAGCUUUUCAAUUUUCUUCCUGGAAAAAAAAUGGACGUUGAUUUAAUGGACUCUAAGAUAUUGGCAUUAUUUUUAAAUUCUUUAAAAUUUCUCUUUAUAAGGAUGACAACAGCAAACAAAUAUCAGGAAAAAUGUUUAGUUCUAUAUAAAGACCUGUGUACCUCCGCUACAUGAUUCGAAACAUAAUUUAAAACACAUCUACCUAAAAAGUACAUUUUAAUAGUUGACCAAAAUAGCAGUUCUAUUCACAAUUUCAAUUUUUCUUUUUUAGUUUUCUACUUUUGCUCAGUCUUCAACUAGCCAUUCCUGAACCCAAAAGUGUUUUUACUUUCAACAGUAAAUUGAUUAGUACUACUCUUCUUUAGUUUACAGUCACUCAAGAUCUAUUUUGCAACAUCUGCUAUGAACUGGCUAUGCAGGGUAAUCAUGGUGUGGUUGGACAAGGACAGUAACAGAGAUGCGCGCUGGGUGCUUUUGGAGCACCCAAGGCUACCGUCUGCCUGACUGUGGGAGCCAGACCUUGGGGCAGGUGACCAGCUCUGGUACUGGAGCAGUGAUCUAGGCAGUUUCACCGAGCCCCAGAAACCCAGAUACUCCUGUCCACUUCUUUCCUAUCUUUCUUCUUCUAAAAAUUCGAGAGUUAACCCUAGUAGGAAAUGAACAAAUGUAGACACUCUCAGUAACAAAGGUGUCUCCAUACAACACAAACAAUAUACUGUAAUGACAAAACCAGCGGUCAGAGAAAAUUCUGUAGCUUAACAUUGAUUCAAAACAUUAUUUUAUCUCUUAUUUCCUCACUUACCAAAUCAGUGAAUCUCAUGCCUUCCUGCUCAAGACAGCUGACAUUAAUGUGCUUAGAUUCGUGCUUACCAGUAUACCUCAAAUUAGUAUUGUAAACCAAGACUGGUAAACUGGUUUUUAAGAUAAAAUGUUAAUAUAUUAACUGAGGCUUGUGGACACCAAAACUGAUUAGCAUAUCAACAGGGCACAAUGUAUUCACAAUAUAUUCAAUUCGCUGGUUUUAUAUACACACUUUUGUUCCAAGGCUAUUUUUAACUGUAGUUUCAUGUACUCAAAGACACUAGGAACAACAGAUAACAAUGCAUGAUUAGCUGAGGAUAGAAAUGUCAGCUGCUCAACAAUCUAUUUUCUGGUCAUUGAUUCAAUAUACGUAUUUUUAUAUCCUAAAAAUACUGACCAUUCUCUCAGCUUAAGUACAACUGGUGGACUUCCUAUAUCACUUAAUCAACUGAAUAUGAUUUAUGCACAUAUUAGUGUUUCAAUAUGGGAUAGCCAUUUAUAAUGCUUUGUAGCCCUCAUAUGAACAAAGUGCUGAUAAAUUUCCAAUGAAUUGUGUCAUCCUCUCAAAAAGAAAGUGAGCGUAUUGUUGACAUAUAUUAGAGUUUCUCUUUUGUUAUGCUAAUAACCCUCUUUUGCUUGUUUUGGAAAGGGAUUGAAUUAGAAAUUGUCAAUCGCUGUGAAAAGAACAAUGGUGGUUGUUCCCAUCUUUGUGAACAUGCAGUUGGUAGGCCCCUUUGUUCCUGUAACCAUGGACACCAGCUGGAUUCAGAUGGGAAAACAUGCAUAGAUGCUGACGAAUAAAUUGGAAAAAGGAGAAGCCUGCUGUGCCCAGCUCUGCGUCAACUGCUUAGCGGUCUUUGAAUGCAGCUGUCAGGAAGGCUUUGUGAUAGGUUCUGAUGGCCGUGGAUGUGAUGAUGUGAUGAACCAGAGCAAGAAGUAGAAGUUGGUAAGUUUCCAGGCUUUCUGUCCCAGCGCCCACCUCGACUGCUUCAUUAUGUUGCCACCUCUCUGACUUCUUCCUACGAAGACAAACGGGAUGAGGAAGAGGAGAGAUUUUCAAGAACCCACACAAAGUUGAGACUCAUGGGAGUGGCAGCAUCUGUGACUGUUGGAAUGGAGGCACCUGUGAUCAUCUGCAUGGGCAGUGCCAGUACACCCUGGAGAUUCAUGCACCGGCUUCCGUGUCUGCAAGACCUUCCUGGAGCUGAAGGGAAAGGGCAGUGUGACUGCUCCGCAGAUGGACCCAGAGCCUGCGAACGGUGACAUCCACGUAGGCCGAUGGACAGCGGGCUGUCUGGGUGGCAGACGUGAGUUUCUAUGAAGAAGAGAAGACCCUGGAGGCACGGUAGGCUGAGCAUGUGUCUGAGAGCGGGUCUUACACACUCACUCUCGUCCCAGCAGACUUUUACGCCCAUCUCCCCUUGGGAGAAGUCGUGCCCUGAAAAUCAGAGCAGAAGGAUAUAAUUCCAUAUCCACAUAUCUAAGUAAAUUUAAUUUAUCCUGAUAACAUUUUCUUAAAGCAACUGCUGAAUGUACUUUAUUGGAAAAUGCCUCUGAGAUUCCCACUGUGAAAGAAAAUGAGUUGAAAGUAUAUGUAAAUCAGCAAAAUAGAGAGGUCACCAUAAUCACUGGAAAACAUAUUAUUUUUCAGUCAGAUAACUUUGUCCAAUUCUGAUAUUUUUGUCUAACCACAAAAUGAAAUUAUGAAUCAGAUUGGAGUGGGUGAAUGGGCCCAACAUGAUUGGCAGCUGAAAUCAAGGCAAAAAGAGCUUUUUAAGCGUCGUGCAUGAUGAAAAUCAGGCCUGUUGUUUUUCUUUCUCCUUUUUAAAAGAGUGAAGGAGCCCAAGUACUCUGAGAGCUAGACAUAUGCUUAAAAUCUCAACUUCAGAUCACGUCUGGGUUGCCGAUGAAUAAUUACAGAUUCCAAAUUGUUUCAAUGGCACUAAUGAGUAGUACUCUCCACAAUCAACCCCAGGCCUUGUUUAGCUCUGAGGAAUGACUUCUAAGAACAGACGAGCAGGUUUCUGCAACUAACCUGUGAACAGGAAAACAAAGACUGUUUUGUUACAAAGGCAGUCAGUGUCUUUGGCGUGCGUUGGUUAGUACGCACGCAGCCUGGGGUACGUUGGACUCCGGUGGCAGGCAGACCAUUGAGGAUGGAAGAACCGUGGCGCAGCAGAGACUUCCAUUCAUGUAAGGAGUCCUAUACAGUGACCAUGUCACAUGAUAUAGACUUUUGUUAAAGUAGCUCCAUGUCAGAUGAACUUCAAAAACCAAACUCCAGUGGUUUUCUAAACACAAGUUAACUGACUAGAAAGGUGCUAAGUGCCUAGUUUAUCAAGUUGGGUGUAGUACAUCCGUUUCAGAAGAUCUGGGUUCAAAUCCUAACUUUAACAGUUGCUAGCUUUGCAAAGUACAGUAAGUCACUUGGCCUCUCAGAGCCUCAUGCAAAAAGAAAUGAGGUUAGAGGAGAAUUUUCAAGGAAAUAUGAACUGACACAGACUUCUUGAUACAGUGCACAUGAUCAACAAAUAAGGUGUGGACAUUUCAGAAAAUAUAAUUCUGUUAUUCAGAGACUCUGUCUAGUACAGAAGAUUCUUCUCAGUCUUACUUAGUUUGAUGUAACUAUCUACAACUGCCACACUUUGGAGAAAGUUGCAUUGUUUUCUCCGUGUUGAAGAAAUGCUUUCCACAAGGUUUACCUUCGCAGUGGUUUUUGAUGAUCAGACAUGUGCCUAAACCUCCACCUGAGCCCUGCUGUGCCACCUGUCCUCUUCAAAACAUUCAGUGAAGCAGCGUACAGUUUCUCCUUGGCCACCUUAUGCAUGGUACACUUUCAUAAAGUACACCAUUUAUGAACCCCUGCCAAGAUUAUUCUGGUUUAGAAAAAAAAUGAAGAUGAACAAAGGAUUUAGCCAAGUGCGGAGGGCAACUUCUGGAGCACUAUCCUCCUGAGAUUCCUUUACAAAUUACAUCUCAUUUUCAUGUUUUGUUCUGUGCAAUUGCUUUCAAAGAUAUAUAUCAAAAUUGCUUCCAUUGUUACUGUCUGAAAAACCACAUUUUCAGCAAAAAGCCAACCACUGUAUCUGUGUUUCUAAAGUGACAAGAUAUAGCAUCAUGUUGAUUUCUUCAGGGAAUAUUUUUGGAAGUGUUGUAAAUCCUCAGAGGCUACUAGACUAUUUCUUUCUUUGUAGCUCAACACACACACACACACACACACACACACACACACACACACACACAAUUUGCCAACUUACUUAAGCAACAGGACUUAAGGACUGUCGUCAGUGUCUUGAGCUAUCUGAGCACUGUUUUUCUGGUUUAUUUUACCAACCUGCCCGGAUAGCCUCUGGGGAUCAAAAUUCUGCUGCUUCUCCUGUGGAUCCUAUGAGAAUGGAGGUCAUUGAAAAAAAUAAAUAAAGCUGGUGCCUGUCACACUCCUGGUUACACAGUAAAAUCCUGUGCUCUCUGUAAGUAAGAAACCUAGACAGGAUAAUCAACAGUCAAUAAAAACGGUUAGCUUCCAUAAAUCCUUAUUUACCUAACUGGUACACAAGGCAUUGUUAUGUUAGCAAAAAUUUUGACAAUAUGUUGUGCAACAAGCCAUCUCAAUCCUCUGUGGUUUAAAAUGGUGAUUUAUCUCAUCUCUCCUGAUUCUGUGGUUGACAAGAUGGUUUUUCAUGUGGAGUCUCAUGGCUCUUUUGUCAGGUUGAUUAUAUGGGAGCAGAUGAGAUCUGUCUGGCUUCUCGACCAAGGAAGCUGGCCUUUCUGUUGCACAGCAUUUUACUUGGUCAGCUCGGCUUCCCCAUAGCGUAAAGGUUUCAGUACAGCACUCCAAGCUGGAGCUUUCUGACAGCAUGGGAACAGAAACUACAAGAUGUCAACAGUACUAGCUUCAGAAACCACACACUACUGCUUCCACUGCAUUUUGCUGGUAAAAGCAAAUCGAAAGACAAGCCAGAUUUGGGAGGAGACAGAGAUUCCAUUCCCUGGUGUAGAAGAGUGGUAUAGUAUCAUUGCCAAAGACCUGCUAGUUGGGGAAUAGAAUUAUAGCCAUUUUUGGAACAAAUUUAAUAUACUCUAGAAUUUAAACUUAUUCUGAAAGGACUAUUAAGAAAUUCUGGACAGGAAAUAUUAUUCUUGUCAGAAUCGAAGCAUAUUAUAGGCCACCAAAGAGUGAUUAGCUAAGUUGAACUUAUUUCAAAGAGCCAGUUAAGGUUACUAUCCUACCAUAUCCUUUACUGGUUGUCAUUCUUACUUAAACCCACGCUAACCCUGGCUGUUAUUGUCUCCAUCCACAGUGAAACAGAGUGGCCUGGAGAUGUGGACUGGUUGAUAAUGAUGGCAUUUCUACAUUGCUAUUUCAAAUUCAUCUAAUACAGAUUAGCACGAGUCUGGUGUUUGUGAUUAUCUCUCACUUUACAUGGGAGAACUGAGAAGUGAUCUGAAUUAGCUUAGAGUGCUUAGGACUUCCUGUAAAGCAGCUAACAACUAAAACCAGAAACAUAAACCACAAAUUCAAAAUGUAACAGAAGAAAGUAUUUAGCACAUCGCUAAUCAUCUCAUCAUUUUGGGAAACAUAUUACUCUAGCCCCUAAAGAUAAGCAAAACUGAUAGUGUGAGGUCUUUGCCUGACAAUUUGUCUAUAUAUACUGGAUAGUGUUUCUUUCGGGACUGUCAUUCUGGCACUAUUGACAAUCUUUUCAAAUAGUGUAAAAGUUUGCCAGAGCAGCUGCCAACUAUCCCCUAACCUACUCAUUUGCUUAACAAAAACAAAUGCUUAAAGGUAAAGAUUUGCAUAUUCAAAGGUACCACUUACUAUUUCUGCAGUGAAGUGACAUUUUCUCUUGUCUAACCAAUUUUAAUGGAAUAGUUAUUAAGCAAAUAAUAAAGUUUACAUAGUUGACAUUGUUCAACAAUAAAAACAGGCUGUUUAAAAACAAGUGAAGAGAAAUCAGUGGCAUUCCUGUAUAUGAGUAACAAACUCACUUAGAGAAAAAUUAGAGAAAUAAUUCCUUUCAUGUUAGCAAUUUAAAAAAAAAGAAAGGAAAGAAAUAGGAAUAAACCUAGGAAAGAAGUGAAAGACCUUUACACGGAAAACUACAGUACAUUGAAAAACAAAAUCAAAGAGAAUAUCAGAAAAUGAAAAAUUAUCACCUGUUCUUGAAUCGGUAGAAAAAAACAUAGUGAAAAUGAUUAUACUUCUGAAAGUCUCAUACAGAUUAAAUGCAAUCCCAAUCAAAAUACCAACAACAUACCUCACAGAGCUAGAGAAAGCCACCCUAAGAUUCAUGUGGAAUCAGUAGAGGUCUGGAAGACCAAAAGCAGUUGUGGGGAUCAAAGACACGGCCAGGAACACGGAAAUCCCCAAUUCAAAGUUAUAAUACAAAUUUACUGUGAUAAAAACAUCAUAGUACUGGCAAAAAGACAAACUCGAGGGUCAACUGAACAGAACAGAAAAUGCAAAAACACCUCCAAGCACAAAUCCAAGCACACUCAUCUAGCCUUUGACAAAGGAGCCAAGCGUCCCUGGGAGAAAGCCCUUCUAAUAAAUCGUGCUGGGAAAACUGACAUUCCACUUGCCAAAGAUUAAACCUAGACAUAUCUCUCACCAUGCUAUAAAUUUAAAACAAAAUGGAUCAAAUAUUAAAAUGAAGCAAUUAAUUUUCUAGAAGAUAGAUUAAAUGAAAUUCUUAAAGACAUAGAUGUCAUCAAAGACUUUAUGAACAAAAUCACAAUUUCAAAGGAAAUAUUACAAAGAGCCACCAACUGGAUUUCAUCAAAUUAAAAUGGUUUUAUACAGCAAAAGAAACCACUGACAGGAUGAAGACAACUCACAGAAUGGGAAAAAAAAUUUUACCAGCUACUUUUCCAACAAAGGACUAAUAUCUAGAAGAUGUAAAGAAUUCCAAAAAAUCAGACCGCUCCAAAUUCAAAGACCUAACCUAAAAAUGGGCAUCUAAGAUGAAUAAGCACUUCUCAGAUGAAGAAGUAGAAAUGGCAAAUAAAUGUAUGAAAACAUGUUCAACAUCAGUGGUCAUUUAAGAAUUACAAACUAAAACAGCACCAAGAUUCCAUUUCAUGCCAGAAAAAAUGAUCAUGUUCAGGAAAUCAACCAAUAACAAAUACUGAUGAGCUUGUGGGGUAAAAGAUACCCUUCUCCACUGUUGGUGAAAGUGGUAAAUUGUUACAAAAUCAUAUAGAGAUUCCUCAAAAAAUUAAAUCUAGAGGUUCCAUUUAACUCAACUAUUCUGAUGUCUCCCUGAGGUAGUUAAUAGGAUCAUACUACCAUAAUGUAUGCAUAACCAUGUUUAUAUCAGUGAAGUUUAUAAUAGCUAAAUCUUGGAAACAGACAUAUGUCCAGCAACAGACAAAUGGAUAAAGAAACGUGGUUUUUAUAUACAGCAGGAUACUACUUGGUCAUAAAGAAGAACAAACUUGAGAUGUUAAGAAAAUGGAUGCAUCUAGAGACCAUAGUUUAAGUGAAAAAAAUCAGACACACAGUUUAAAUAUCACAUUGUUUCUAUCGUGUGAGAAACUCAAAGGGUAAAUAAGGAGCCAAA